UACGUGUGAUGAACCAAACUUCACCAUCUUUCGACUGAAAAAAAAAACAUUGAUGCCAUACAAGUUUUCACUGAUUA